UACAGAGGGUGCGAGCGUUAAUCGGAAUUACUGGGCGUAAAGCGUGCGUAGACGGUUAUUUAAGUCGGGUGUGAAAGCCCCGGGCUCAACCUGGGAAUUGCAUUCGAGACUGAAUAGCUAGGGUACGGUAGAGGGAAGCGGAAUUUCCGGUGUAGCGGUGAAAUGCGUAGAUAUCGGAAGGAACAUCAGUGGCGAAAGCGGCAUCCUGGACCGACAUUGACGCUGAACGGCGAAAGCUAGGGGAGCAAACGGG
rnacentral:rRNA from 1 species